rnacentral:rRNA from 1 species
GCCACAGCUAUAGCUCAAGCACAGAAAAACAGUCACAAAACCCCACCCAUGCACAUGGAGGCUUGUGCGGGCCAAGCUAGCAGCGCGCACAUCGUCCUGGUGCACGGCGCAUGCCUCGGCGGCUGGUCCUGGUUCAAGGUGGCGACGCGGCUCAGGUCGGCCGGGCACCGCGUCAGCACGCCUGACCUCGCGGCGUCCGGCGUCGACCCCAGGCCGCUGCGCGAGGUGCCGACGUUCCGCGACUACACCAAGCCGCUGCUGGACCUCCUGGAGUCCCUCCCGCCGGGCGAGAAGGUGGUCCUCGUCGGCCACAGCCUCGGCGGCGUGAACAUCGCCCUCGCCUGCGAGCUGUUCCCGGAGAAGAUCGCCGCUGCGGUGUUCGUCGCCGCCUUCAUGCCGGACCACAGGUCGCCGCCGUCGUACGUGCUUGAAAAGUUCGUGGAGGGGAGAACGCUGGACUGGAUGGACACGGAGUUUAAGCCUCAAGAUCCCGAGGGCAAGCUGCCCACUUCCAUGCUGUUCGGGCCGCUGGUCACUCGUGCAAAGUUCUUCCAGCUGUGCUCGCCGGAGGACCUGACGCUGGGACGAUCCCUGAUGAGGGUCAGCUCCAUGUUCGUGGACGACCUGAGACUGCAGCCGCCGCACACCGAGGCCCGCUACGGGUCGGUGCGCAAGGCGUACAUCGUCUUCAAGGACGACCACGCCAUUGUCGAGGCGUUCCAGCGGUGGAUGGUGCACAACUACCCCGUGGAUGAGGUGAUGGAAAUCGACGGCGCGGACCACAUGGCGUUGCUCUCGACGCCGACCGAGCUGGCGCGCUGCCUCGCUCACAUCGCUGUCAAGUAUGCUGCCUGAAGUAUGAUACCGUCUCGUUGCCGGCAUUUGUGAUUGGAUUUGUGACAUCUCUAUUGUUGCUGUUACCGUUCAGUAUGUUUCAGAGACUUCUACUGCACCCUAUAUUAGAGACGGAUGAUGCAUGUAACUUGUGGCUAUUUAAUAAUUGAAGUUAAAUGUUGGUGCGCACCUUUGUCGACAGAUACUGAUCGUGGUGCAUGUAACUUAGUGACCGAGCAAUAUACUCCCUAUAAAGUUGGCACCUCAAUCUGCUUGGAGCACCUCAAUCUGCUUGGAGAUGGACCAGUGAAAGAUGGUGGAGACGUCACAUAUGAGUGCGUCAGACCGGUUUAUGCCCCAGACCCGGUAUGUGGCUAGGCUGGGGAUUCCGGCUUUCGAUGUUAGGAUUAGGUGAGUGGUCUGGGUAGUGGCCCAUCUAGCACCCCUUCAUCAUUUGGAUAGGAGUAGCGGCAUAUGUUGCCUAGAUGGUGGAUUCAGGCUUAUUGUUAUAACACUUUGUAAGGUCCUCGAG